GAUGAACGCUAGCUACAGGCUUAACACAUGCAAGUCGAGGGACCGGCGCACGGGUGAGUAACACGUAUCCAACCUGCCCUUUACUCGGGGAUAGCCUUUCGCAAGAAAGAUUAAUACCCGAUGUAACGGAUGGGGAUGCGUUCCAUUAGGUUGUUGGUGAGGUAACGGCUCACCAAGCCUUCGAUGGAUAGGGGUUCUGAGAGGAAUGGCCCCCACAUUGGAACUGAGACACGAGCCAAACGCCUACGGGAGGCAGCAUGGAGGAAUAUUGGUCAAUGGGCGUGAGCCUGAACCAGCCAAGUAGCGUGAAGGAUGAAGGCUUAUGGGUCGUAAACUUCUUGUAUAUAAGAAUAUGUAUUAUAUGAAUAAGGAUCGGCUAACUCCGUGCCAGCAGCCGCGGUAAUUC
rnacentral:rRNA from 1 species